rnacentral:rRNA from 1 species
UACGUAGGGGGCAAGCGUUGUCCGGAAUUAUUGGGCGUAAAGAGCGCGUAGGCGGUCCGAUAAGUCGGCUGUGAAAGUCCAGGGCUCAACCCUGGAAAGCCGGCCGAUACUGUCGGGCUCGAGUCCGGAAGAGGCGAGUGGAAUUCCUGGUGUAGCGGUGAAAUGCGCAGAUAUCAGGAGGAACACCAAUGGCGAAGGCAGCUCGCUGGGACGUGACUGACGCUGAGACGCGAAAGCGUGGGGAGCAAACAGG